UUCACGCUGCUGCGUGACAUGUGCCUCCCUCACAAACCUUGUUACGACAUCGGCACAUUACCUGUCUGACGUAA
rnacentral:sRNA from 1 species